rnacentral:rRNA from 1 species
UACGUAGGGGGCAAGCGUUGUCCGGAAUCAUUGGGCGUAAAGAGCUCGUAGGCGGCUCGGUAAGUCAGGUGUGAAAACUCUAGGCUCAACCUAGAGACGCCACCUGAUACUGCUGUGGCUAGAGUCCGGUAGGGGAGCAUGGAAUUCCUGGUGUAGCGGUGAAAUGCGCAGAUAUCAGGAGGAACACCAGUGGCGAAGGCGGUGCUCUGGGCCGGAACUGACGCUGAGGAGCGAAAGCGUGGGGAGCAAACAGG